rnacentral:lncRNA from 1 species
AGUUUCAGUGUUUUGAAAGUGGAUGCAUAGUUUGAAUGCGGUAUUUAUUAAAAUUGCAAGUUGGUCACUCAACUGUUUAAAUACUGGAAUUGGAAGAAACAAGCGCGAUACUUUUUUAAAGCAAACACGUUUCUAUGAUAUAGUCUUCUCGGGGGUCGGGGAUCUAUUUGAUCAAGAUUCUGUGUCAACUGUUCGAUGCUCUGAGUUGGUUUGUGGGCACCACAGGCGUGUUAGCGGAAGAUUAUUUCUAGGACUCACGGUGACCAACUCCUACCCCAAAAAUCUCAUUUCUCGUCCCUCAACGAGAACGCUGGAGCCCCUACCUAUCUAUCUCACUGCUGGUCUUGGGUUCCGAGUAUUUUUGAAGAAAAAGAAAAUAAAUAUUGUUCGGCUGUGCAGGCGACUCUGCAUCCUCUCGCCGAUCUUGUCCCACUAGCCGUGCGCCCUCCUGCUUCCAGACCACCUCUGUUCUGAAACCCAGGCGAUUUCACUUGGAGGCUGAACAUCUCUUUCACAUGGAGCUCAGCACCGAUCCUCAGACCUAGUUUCAUAUCUCAGCCAUGACAUCUCUACUUGGUCAUCAGCCCCUCAAGCCAACUCAUCCAGCCCCAGAAUCCGUUUUCGUCUGCUCUUCCGCUCAGGGCUCCCUCCGGUUCGGUGCGCGCGCCCGGCGUUUCCACCCGGAUCCCCGCUGUUACCUGCUCACUGCGCGUGUCCCACGCUUCAACCCUUCCCCCACCACUACAGUGGACUAAAUGGGUGGUGCUCCUUUUAAUCCGAUCACUUCCCUCCCGUUUAAAAUCUUUUAAAGGAAUCGUUGUGGCCCUCAGGAUAAAAAAUACCUUCUAAAAAAAUCCACUCAGUGCUCUGUCUGCUGGGUUUUUAGUGCCAGGUUCGAUCCUAACCUUUACCCUGUUGUACUCAGUUUGACAUUGUUUUCAGUUUUCGGUGCGACUCUCCAGGGGCUGCCGCACCUCCCUGUCUCCUGGUCUAGUGUAGUGGCUUCCUUCUCUUCUCCAAAAAUGAGGAUUAGAGAAUCCGUGCCCUUAGCCCUAAGUACCGCAGUGUGCUGACCUCUCUUUUGGCUGUUCUACCCAACUUCAUUUCCCCAGUAGCUUCCUGCUCACAUUGUUCCGAGUUUCUGGGGUGAUCUUGGCAGUAUCUGAUCAGA